GACGAACGCUGGCGGCGUGCCUAAUACAUGCAAGUAGGACGCAGUUGCGAACGGGUGAGAAACGCGUAGGUAACUGCCUAUUAGAGGGGGAUAACUAAUGGAAACGAUAGUUAAUACCGCAUACUAGCAGAUGGACCUGCUUUGUAUUAGCUAGUAGGUAGGGGAAUGGCCUACCUAGGCAACGAAGCAUAGCCGGGCUGAGAAGGUGGUCGGCCCAACGUGGGCUGGUGCACAGCCCAGCCUCAUUAGGGGAGCAACCGUAAGGGAUCUUCCGCCAUGGGACGAACCCUGACCGAGCAACGCCGCGUGAGUGAAGAAGGUUUUCAGUUCGUAAAGCUCUGUUUUUUAGGAAGCGGUACUUAACCAGAAAGCGACGGCUAACUACGUGCCAGCAGCCGCGGUAAUAC
rnacentral:rRNA from 1 species